GUAACAUGUGGGAAUCUGCCUUGUGGUUCAGGACAACAUUGGGAAACCGAUGCUAAUACUGGAUAAGCCCUUACGGGGAAAGUUUUAAUGCCAUAAGAUGAGCCCGCAUUUGAUUAGUUAGUUGGUGAGGUAAUGGCUCACCAAGACAAUGAUCAAUAGCUGAUCUGAGAGGAUGAUCAGCCACACUGGGACUGAGACACGGCCCAGACUCCUACGGGAGGCAGCAGUGGGGAAUCUUGCACAAUGGAGGAAACUCUGAUGCAGCGAUGCCGCGUGAGUGAAGAAGGCCUUUGGGUUGUAAAGCUCUUUUGUAGGGGAAGAUAAUGACUGUACCCUAAGAAUAAGGUCCGGCUAACUUCGUGCCAGCAGCCGCGGUAAUACGAAGGGACCUAGCGUAGUUCGGAAUUACUGGGCGUAAAGCGCGCGUAGGCCGUUGAGUUAGUUAAUUGUGUAAUCCCAAAGCUUAACUUUGGAACUGCAAUUAAAACUGCUCGACUAGAGUUUGAUAGAGGAAAGCGGAAUACAUAGUGUAGAGGUGAAAUUCGUAGAUAUUAUGUAGAACACCAGUUGCGAAGGCGGCUUUCUGGAUCAACACUGACGCUGAGGCG
rnacentral:rRNA from 1 species